GACAGAAAGACCCUAUGAAGCUUGACUGUAUCCUGGAAUUGGGUUCGGGCUUUUCUUGCGCAGCCUAGGUGGGAGGCUUCGAAGGUUCCCUUCCGGGGGAAUCUGAGCCAUCAUUGAGAGACCACUCUGGAAGAGCUAGAAUCCUAAUGGUGAUCUUUGAAUCAAGACGCUUGACAGUUUCAGGUGGGCAGUUUAUCUGGGGCGGAUACCUCCCAAAAGGUAACGGAGGUGUGCAAAGGUUCCCUCAGUCUGGACGGAAAUCAGACAUCGAGUGUAAAGGCAAAAGGGAGCUUGACUGCAAGACCUACAAGUCGAGCAGGGGCGAAAGCCGGCCUUAGUGAUCCGACGGUUCCGCGUGGAAGGGCCGUCGCUCAACGGAUAAAAGUUACUCUAGGGAUAACAGGCUGA
rnacentral:rRNA from 1 species